rnacentral:rRNA from 1 species
UACGUAGGGGGCGAGCGUUAUUCGGAAUUACUGGGUGUAAAGGGUAUGUAGGCGGCCCUUCAAGUCGCGUGUCAAAGUCCAGUGCUCAACGCUGGGUGUGCGCGCGAUACUGACGGGCUUGAGGGCUGGAGAGGUGAGCGGAAUUCCCGGUGUAGUGGUAAAAUACGUAGAGAUCGGGAGGAACACCAGCGGCGCAGGCGGCUCACUAGACAGUUUCUGACGCUAAGAUACGAAAGCGUGGGGAGCAAACAGGAUUAGAAACCCUAGUAGUCC